UUUCCGUAGGUGAACCUGCGGAAGGAUCAUUAUUGUAAAACCGAGGUGUGAGGGCUGUCGCUGACCCGAAAGGUCGUGCACGCCCGAGUACCCUCACACACAUCCAUCUCACCCCUAUGUGCACUACCGCGUGGGUCCCCCCUUGGCUCGUUCGGAGGGGGGCUUACGUUUUCACACAAACUUUGUAUGCAGUGUAGAAUGUAUUUUUUGUUUUUGCGAUCACGCAAUCAAUACAACUUUCAACAACGGAUCUCUUGGCUCUC
rnacentral:misc_RNA from 1 species